rnacentral:misc_RNA from 1 species
GAUGAAGAACGCAGCGAAAUGCGAUACUUGGUGUGAAUUGCAGAAUCCCGUGAACCAUCGAGUCUUUGAACGCAAGUUGCGCCCGAAGCCAUCAGGUUGAGGGCACGUCUGCCUGGGCGUCACAUAUCGUUGCCUAAUGCCUAUUGCAGUGCAAUAGGAAUUUCUAGGGCGAAUGAUGGCUUCCCGUGAGCGUUGUUGCCUCGCGGUUGGUUGAAAAUCGAGUCCUUGGUAGGGUGUGCCAUGGUAGAUGGUGGUCGAGUUAGAACGAUACCGAUCAUGUGCAUGCUCCCCAAAAUAUGGCCUCUAUGACCCACACGCGUCUUUUGACGCUCAUGACGAGACCUCAGGUCAGGCGGGGCUACCCGCUGAAUUUAAGCAUAUCAAUAAGCGGAGGA